GCCCAGGUGGUGGAAUUGGUAGACACGCAUGGUUGAGGGCCAUGUGGGAUUUUCUCGUGUGGGUUCAAGUCCCGCUCUGGGCA
rnacentral:tRNA from 1 species